GGAUUAGUGGCGAACGGGUGAGUAACGCGUGAGUAACCUGCCUUACACAAGGGGAUAGCCUUUGGAAACGAAGAAUAAUACCCUAUAAAACCAUAAAAGCACAUGCUAGAAUGGUCAAAGUGAUAGCGGUGUAAGAUGGACUUGCGUCUGAUUAGCUAGUUGGUGAGAUAAAAGCUCACCAAGGCAACGAUCAGUAGCCGGCUUGAGAGAGUGUACGGCCACAUUGGGACUGAGACACGGCCCAGACUCC
rnacentral:rRNA from 1 species